ensembl:lncRNA
AUUAAAGCAAAAAUAAUCAAGGCAUCUCAUUCCUUCCAUCAAGUAAGUUUUGCUAUGGUCUUUGUACUCUAAAAAAUCAUUUUUUAUUUUUGUAGUUGAAAAGAAAUAUGAAAUAAGUCAUAAUAAGGGAUGGGUUUACUUUCUGGCCAAGGACUCAGUGACUACUGAUCUUAGCCGAGGAUUUUUAAAAUCAUAUCAGGCCCACAGUUCCAGAAAUUGACCUUAAAUAUUGCUGCUCCUCACUCCUGGACGGAAAUGCCAUGUAGUUGCACUAGUCAACUGAAGUGAAUUAUCCAAGGUGGAGGUGAAUCACUGUAAAGCUGCCAUGGAAACUUAAUUUCAUGAUAUCUUUGGUUUGCGAACUUCCAAGUAAUCAAAGAUUCAUAUUUAAAAAUAGCAAUCCUAUAUAUCCAGCCUAGGAAAUUGCUCUUACUAAUGGGACCUUUUGAGUUGGCCCUUUUUCUCCCUCGUCACUUUGAUUUGGCUGUGUUUUUAAUUAUGCCAUGUGUCAAGAUAAGAUUGGGCCAUCUUCUAGUCCUUUGGAGCACAUUUUAAUGAAAACGCAUUUUAUGUGCUAAAUUAAGGUAGAUUAGAUUGAUGAACCAUGCUUUUGACUUAGUAUUUUAAAGCAUGACACCCCCCACCUCCCCCCCAUAGAACAAUGUGCAGCAGCACCCGAGGUUGAAAAGAGGUCAUGAAUAGCAGGGAAAACAAACUUACUGUUUUGUGUAUGUUGAAACCCACCCUUCUUCUCCCUCUAAUGUUAUGUUUACAUUAUUUAAUUAUUAUGCAACUUUUAUCUUGGGAUAAACAGUAUUAUUAAACUAAACGUGUAAGUUGAAGGCAGUAUCAUACUGUCAGCUGAUGUGGGCAGUUUUAUCUGUGUGUUACUUAUUUGGGGAUUUUAUGUGGCUAAGCCCUCAGAGUAGUGUUCUAAGACAGCUUAUGGAGAGGUUUGCCAACUUCAGCUUUCCCUCUCAGAUCCAUUGUAGCAGUUUCACAUGAUUGUGUGGAUAUUGGAUGUUUAAUCUUUACCAUUUGCUUUGUAUUGACACAUUUUUAACUUUUAGUGUUAACUCAUGAACUCUUCAUUUUAGGAAUGAUGCAAAUCCACCCUUCAUCCAGUGAUGAGAAUAGCAAUAUGAUAGGAAAAUUUGCUGAAUGGGCUCUAAAUGAGUAAAUGCUUUAUCUUUUUUAGUAUUUCAUAGACUUUGCAUGACAUGGUACACUCCUAAUUCUACAUUCUUCGAUUUCCAAAUCUUAACCUAAGACACUCUAUGUUAACUGGUUGGUAGCCUUAGAAGAGCUUUCUCUGCCUGUUUCUCCCCUUCCCAGUUUUUUGGGGUUCAUUAUGGGAAAGUCAGUGCUGUUUCUCAUUUCUCAGGAUGAAGCAAAGCUCUUUUGAACAGCACAACCUAACUUUAUAGCUAGACAGACUGGCUGUUAAGAAUAUCUAAAAAGUCCCAAAUUUAUCAAAAUUAUUGUAUGGGAAAUUGUAAAUCUAGUUCAUUAGUAGUAUGUGCUUAAUUUGGGACUUACUUUUGGGAAAACUGUUCAAAUUGGGUUCUUUUAAGUUGAUUUUAAUCACUGUAGAAGCAAGAAGCUACUUAGCUAAUAAAAGCUGAGACACUUUCAUAAAAGCAGGAAAUUCUUGAGAGCAUUUUUUCCCUUUAAAAAUGGGAGGAUGUUAUAUCAAGAUUUAUGCUCUCAGAUAAUCUGUGAGAAUACAACUUAAAAAUCCCUGACUUGUGUAGAAGUCCCACUGUCAAAUUCUCAGUGACUUUGAGUGUGAAAAAGCUGUCUUUUGCUUGAAUUCUAAUGGAAGAAUUUAAUUCCUUUCAAAAGAUAUGAAAAAUUCAUUAGAAAGUAUAAUAUGUAUACAUUUCAAAGGCUCUCUCAAUUAUCUGGACUGAAGGCACUGUUCUCACUGUGGCCAGAUGAAUGGGAGUGUUCUGUA